rnacentral:rRNA from 1 species
GCAAGCGUUAAUCGGAAUUACUGGGCUUAAAGAGUUCGUAGGUGGUUGAAAAAGUUGGUGGUGAAAUCCCAGAGCUUAACUCUGGAACUGCCAUCAAAACUUUUCAGCUAGAGUUUGAUAGAGGAAAGCAGAAUUUCUAGUGUAGAGGUGAAAUUCGUAGAUAUUAGAAAGAAUACCAAUUGCGAAGGCAGCUUUCUGGAUCAUUACUGACACUGAGGAACGAAAGCAUGGGUAGCGAAGAGGAUUAGAUACCCUCGUAGUCCAUGCCGUAAACGAUGUGUGUUAUACGUUGGAAAUUUAUUUUCAGUGUCGCAGCGAAAGCGAUAAACACACCGCCUGGGGAGUACGACCGCAAGGUUAAAACUCAAAUGAAUUGACGGGGGCCCGCACAAGCGGUGGAGCAUGUGGUUUAAUUCGAUGCAACGCGAAAAACCUUACCAACCCUUGACAUCUAGUGAAAUUUCUAGAGAUAGAUUUGUGCCUUCGGGAACACUAUGACAGGUGUUGCAUGGCU